UUUAUGGAGAGUUUGAUCCUGGCUCAGGAUGAACGCUGGCGGCGUGUCUAAUCCAUGGAGGGCGAGCGAACGGACGAGAAGCUUGCUUCUCUGAUGUUAGCGGCGGACGGGUGAGUAACACGUGGAUAACCUACCUAUAAGA
rnacentral:rRNA from 1 species